rnacentral:rRNA from 1 species
UACGAAGGGGGCUAGCGUUGCUCGGAAUCACUGGGCGUAAAGCGCACGUAGGCGGAUUGUUAAGUCAGGGGUGAAAUCCUGGAGCUCAACUCCAGAACUGCCUUUGAUACUGGCGAUCUCGAGUCCGGGAGAGGUGAGUGGAACUGCGAGUGUAGAGGUGAAAUUCGUAGAUAUUCGCAAGAACACCAGUGGCGAAGGCGGCUCACUGGCCCGGUACUGACGCUGAGGCGAAGCACGGGAGG